rnacentral:rRNA from 1 species
GACGAGGGGUCCAAGCGUUGUCCGGAAUUAUUGGGCGUAAAGAGCUCGUAGGCGGUUUGUUGCGUCGGCUGUGAAAUCCCGAGGCUCAACCUCGGGUCUGCAGUCGAUACGAGCAAACUAGAGUGUUGCAGGGGAGACUGGAAUUCCUGGUGUAGCGGUGAAAUGCGCAGAUAUCAGGAGGAACACCGGUGGCGAAGGCGGGUCUCUGGGCAACAACUGACGCUGAGGAGCGAAAGCGUGGGGAGCGAACAGG